GUCAGCUGUCAUGCUACUUUAUUCAAUAAACAACGCCAUUCAUUUAUUCACCCAAUAACUUGGCUAACCCGAAGGUUCGCCCUCGACUCACAUCUCAAAUCCUCUAGGUGAGGAGUCCCUAGCCGCUCGACUUACCCGAGACCGCCUGCGAGAUAGCUAGCUUGUCACGCCCCGGGACCCGGCAUAGGCCCGCCCGAUGCGUGCCCAAACCCGCCAUAUGCCAGCACAUAUAAGGCGUUUACAACAAUAGCGAUAAGUGAACAAGAAAAAGAGAGUAUCUAG
rnacentral:lncRNA from 1 species